rnacentral:rRNA from 1 species
UCGGGGUGGAUUAGUGGCGAACGGGUGAGUAACACGUGGGCAAUCUGCCCUUCACUCUGGGACAAGCCCUGGAAACGGGGUCUAAUACCGGAUAACACUCCUGCCUGCAUGGGUGGGGGUUAAAAGCUCCGGCGGUGAAGGAUGAGCCCGCGGCCUAUCAGCUUGUUGGUGGGGUAAUGGCCCACCAAGGCGACGACGGGUAGCCGGCCUGAGAGGGCGACCGGCCACACUGGGACUGAGACACGGCCCAGACUCCUACGGGAGGCAGCAGUGGGGAAUAUUGCACAAUGGGCGAAAGCCUGAUGCAGCGACGCCGCGUGAGGGAUGACGGCCUUCGGGUUGUAAACCUCUUUCAGCAGGGAAGAAGCGAAAGUGACGGUACCUGCAGAAGAAGCGCCGGCUAACUACGUGCCAGCAGCCGCGGUAAUACGUAGGGCGCAAGCGUUGUCCGGAAUUAUUGGGCGUAAAGAGCUCGUAGGCGGCUUGUCACGUCGGAUGUGAAAGCCCGAGGCUUAACCUCGGGUCUGCAUUCGAUACGGGCUAGCUAGAGUGUGGUAGGGGAGAUCGGAAUUCCUGGUGUAGCGGUGA